GAAAUGUAGUGGCCGAACGUUGUGCUGAAGCAUGGCCUCGGGUCGGUUCGCCCCGGUUCUGCUCGCACGGCUGAUCAGUCCGUCGUGUUGCAGCUGCUUGGGCGCACUUGACAUCGUGCUGGCUCGAUCGUUCGAAACAAGCCAUCUCUGGAAAACGAAUGCGGGUGCACUAGUUUGCGCUCGCAACACCUUCGA
rnacentral:rRNA from 1 species